GGGGCUGACUGGUUUUGACAGCGGGUAGAAGAGACAGGUAAGCAUGUCGGGUUUUGGUUGUUGACCCGUAAAAAAUAAUGAUCAAAACCAUAAUUGGCGAAAAUAAUUACGCUCUUGCUGCGUAAUCUAACAGUUUAGAUUACACUUAAUUCCGAAACAAGGUUUUGGAACAAGACAUCGCCCGGAUGCUAAUGCUUUGAAGCGGUCCGGCUCGGCGGUGCAAGUAAAUCGAAGCUAGCAUAAACGAGGCUCUGGCGUUUUUGCGAAAUUAAAAGAGAUAAGGUAGUAGUUGGUGGCUUUGAUCCGGCUGCUAUUCGAAAAUUAAGUCAGAGAUAAGCAUGUAGAAAGCUUGUAGCUUCCUCGUUUGGACGCGGGUUCGACUCCCGCCAGCUCCACUA
rfam:Draconibacterium orientale strain FH5T, complete genome.